rnacentral:rRNA from 1 species
AUACGGAGGAUCCGAGCGUUAUCCGGAUUUAUUGGGUUUACAGGGUGCGCAGGCGGCCAUUUAAGUCAGCGGUUAAAUCGUGGGGCUCAACCCCAUUCUGCCGUUGAUACUGGGUGGCUUGAUUGCGGUCGAGGUUGGCGGAAUUCGUUGUGUAGCGGUGAAAUGCAUAGAUAUGACGAAGAACACCGAUUGCGUAGGCAGCUGACCAGAUCGCAAAUGACGCUCAUGCACGAAAGUGCGGGGAUCGAACAGGAUUAGAUACCCUGGUAGUCCGCACAGUAAACGAUGAAUACUUGUUUUCGGCGAUAUAAUGUCGGAGGCAAAGCGAAAGCGAUAAGUAUUCCACCUGGGGAGUACGCCGGCAACGGUGAAACUCAAAUGAAUUGGCGGGG